GAUGAACGCUGGCGGCGUGCCUAAUACAUGCAAGUCGAGCGAACGGACGAGAAGCUUGCUUCUCUGAUGUUAGCGGCGGACGGGUGAGUAACACGUGGAUAACCUACCUAUAAGACUGGGAUAACUUCGGGAAACCGGAGCUAAUACCGGAUAAUAUUUUGAACCGCAUGGUUCAAAAGUGAAAGACGGUCUUGCUGUCACUUAUAGAUGGAUCCGCGCUGCAUUAGCUAGUUGGUAAGGUAACGGCUUACCAAGGCAACGAUGCAUAGCCGACCUGAGAGGGUGAUCGGCCACACUGGAACUGAGACACGGUCCAGACUCCUACGGGAGGCAGCAGUAGGGAAUCUUCCGCAAUGGGCGAAAGCCUGACGGAGCAACGCCGCGUGAGUGAUGAAGGUCUUCGGAUCGUAAAACUCUGUUAUUAGGGAAGAACAUAUGUGUAAGUAACUGUGCACAUCUUGACGGUACCUAAUCAGAAAGCCACGGCUAACUACGUGCCAGCAGCCGCGGUAAUACGUAGGUGGCAAGCGUUAUCCGGAAUUAUUGGGCGUAAAGCGCGCGUAGGCGGUUUUUUAAGUCUGAUGUGAAAGCCCACGGCUCAACCGUGGAGGGUCAUUGGAAACUGGAAAACUUGAGUGCAGAAGAGGAAAGUGGAAUUCCAUGUGUAGCGGUGAAAUGCGCAGAGAUAUGGAGGAACACCAGUGGCGAAGGCGACUUUCUGGCCUGUAACUGACGCUGAUGUGCGAAAGCGUGGGGAUCAAACAGGAUUAGAUACCCUGGUAGUCCACGCCGUAAACGAUGAGUGCUAAGUGUUAGGGGGUUUCCGCCCCUUAGUGCUGCAGCUAACGCAUUAAGCACUCCGCCUGGGGAGUACGACCGCAAGGUUGAAACUCAAAGGAAUUGACGGGGACCCGCACAAGCGGUGGAGCAUGUGGUUUAAUUCGAAGCAACGCGAAGAACCUUACCAAAUCUUGACAUCCUUUGACAACUCUAGAGAUAGAGCUUUCCCCUUCGGGGGACAAAGUGACAGGUGGUGCAUGGUUGUCGUCAGCUCGUGUCGUGAGAUGUUGGGUUAAGUCCCGCAACGAGCGCAACCCUUAAGCUUAGUUGCCAUCAUUAAGUUGGGCACUCUAAGUUGACUGCCGGUGACAAACCGGAGGAAGGUGGGGAUGACGUCAAAUCAUCAUGCCCCUUAUGAUUUGGGCUACACACGUGCUACAAUGGACAAUACAAAGGGCAGCGAAACCGUGAGGUCAAGCAAAUCCCAUAAAGUUGUUCUCAGUUCGGAUUGUAGUCUGCAACUCGACUACAUGAAGCUGGAAUCGCUAGUAAUCGUAGAUCAGCAUGCUACGGUGAAUACGUUCCCGGGUCU
rnacentral:rRNA from 1 species